AGAAAAAAGAUAAUAUACUAAUUCUUAAUUUUAGUAAGUAGACAGUUGUAGUGUAUGGAUGUUUUGUUAAAUCUUUGUUGAUACAGAAUAUAUAAUUUCCUUUUUCUGUUUGUGUGAGAAGUAAAGAUUGAACAAAAAUAUGUGAGUGCUAAACUGUCUUUAAAAAGUAGAUAACUAUAUCAAAAACAGUAAGGACCAGUGGGCACCAUGCAGAACAAGCAAAUAGAAGCUCAGCCUUUGAGUAGCAGCUUUGGUAGUAUACAAAAAUGAACUGAAAAUAGGAACUCAGCAGUGUUUUAAGAUGACAGAUUAAACAAACAUCCCACCAGAAAGAGGUAAUCACUUAGACUAAUUUCCUCAUCCCCUAGGAUAAAAUCUUAAGUCAGUGACUUGAAAACUAUUUUGACCCAAUCCAUUGAGAAAUGCAUUUUUACAUUGCAGCCCAGCACACACAUAUGUAUAACUGAAGCAAGAGUUGUACUUAACAAUACUUACUUAUCCGUGUGUUAUGCAUCUUGAUAUUUCUUAUUCUCUUUUACCCCUUCCUCUGUGUGUGUGUGUGUAUUCUUUUUCCCCCCCACCCACCCGAUACCGUUCAGGAAACACUACGUUGAUUUCAUUACCUGCUAAUGUGUUGCAACCCCUUUGAGAUGAUCCUACUAGUUAUGAUGAGAUGCUUCUAAUAAAAGUUACACCAGUAGAAAAUGCCAAUAUUUCAUAAGGCCAGGAUGAUGACUUAGAUAGUACUAAUAUUACAACACUUUAGGAAAGUUCAUUUCAUUUUAUUUUUAGGAAGGACACUAAUAGAGUUCCAUAAAAGAAAAGUCUUUAGUGCAUGUUAUUUAUUAUUCAGGGUGUAGAUACUAUUUUAACUUCCACAUUCUAAAUUAUAGUGUGGGUAUCAAUCUAUGAAGUAGGUGCUGACAAGUUGUCAACAUUACUGACUUUUAUGGUGAAGUUUUAAAUUUGAAUUUUUAUUCAAAUAUAAAUGAAAAGACCAUUUUCUCAGGUAAAAAAAUCUAUCAUGCUUUGAUGCUUUUCACUUUAAUUGAAAAAAGACUCAUUAUAAAAGUACAAUGCAAGAAAUAUUUAGAAAAAUAUUCCUGAUCUCCAGUUGUUACUGUACCUAGAUUUUUCUUGGGACCUAUGUGAUAAAACUUAUCAUGAUUCUUGAAGAAAUAGAAGUUCAUACAACUGUUAUCAGAAUUUAUAUAAAAUGUUUCUCAGAAAAUGUGGUUUCUCCAGCUCGAACAUUCUAUAACUCUAAGCCAAAUUGAAAGAGCAGAUUGAUGGGAUAAAACACAAAGUAUGGAAAUAAAUAAUAAACUGCUACCCUGAAAAAGCCUACCUCUGCACAUUGUUUAAAAAUUGGAAAAAAUCCUACUUCUGUGUUCUGAUAUUCAAUGCAAGUCAUUAGAGUAAGGUGAGACUCUUCCUGUGGAUUCAGAUUGAAAUCAGGGACGGUGUAGGGAGGCCAUGGUCAACUUUUGAGCUACCCUUGAGGGAAGAAAUUAAUUGAUCAAAUAUUAACUGCCCAAGUAUAUUCACAGGAUGGCCAUCCAGUAAUGAGAAUGAACAGUCUCCAACUAAAGGCAACAAUAUAGAUGAAUCUCGGAAACAUGAUAUUGACCAGACAGAAAAGAUUCCACUUACAUAAACUUCAAAAGAAGAUAAAACUGAUCUAUGACAUUAAUAGUCAGAAUAUUCAUUAUCCUUGAGGGAACUAAACUGGGAAGCCACAUGAUAGGGCAUCUGGAAGCUAGUAAUGUCCUCUUUCUUGAUCUGUUACAUUGGUGUGUUUAUUUCAUUAGAUUUAUUGAGCUAUACAUUUACCACCGUGUACUUGUCUCUGUAUAUGUUUUGCAUUGAAAUAAAUUUUACCAAUAAAAUGAUAAAGCAAAAU
rnacentral:lncRNA from 1 species